GCUACGACCACCACCACGACUACCACCACCAACACCACCAAAACGAGCUUUCCUCAUGAAAACUCGAAGAGAGUCAUGAUGAUCCAACGGAUUGGAGUCACCGUGUUGUGCAAGUCUUCGUUCACUCUCCUUAUUUUCAGAUGAAAUUGGCAAAGGCUGAGAGAGUAACAAUAGGAGUACAAUCAAUGAACAAGAAAAUGCCAGUGAAGUCCUCAUUUCUGUUUUAUCAAAUAAUAUGUGUGUAUAUACAUGUAUCUGAUCGAAAAAAAUCAGAAAUAUGUGUUAAUUUUACAAUGAUGGGACGCAUUAUGUGUGCAAAAGAAUUAGUAUUUAUAAUAUCGCUAGGCUUAGGUAACGAAACGACCAUGGCUUAAACAUGGGCUACUUCUUCUUUGAAAUGAUGUUUAAUACUAUUAUUGUAUUUAACUAUUGGGAUACUUAUUACUUAUUAGCA